UACGGAGGGUGCGAGCGUUGUCCGGAAUCACUGGGCGUAAAGGGCGCGUAGGCGGCCUGAUAAGUAGGGGGUGAAAUCCUGCGGCUUAACCGCAGGGCUGCCUUCUAAACUGUCAGGCUCGAGCACAGUAGAGGCAGGUGGAAUUCCCGGUGUAGCGGUGGAAUGCGUAGAGAUCCGGAAGAACACCGGUGGCGAAGGCGGUCUGCUGGGCAGUUGCUGACACUGAGGCGCGACAGCGUGGGGAGCAAACAGG
rnacentral:rRNA from 1 species